AUAUUGCUUUAAAAAAAAAACACACAACAACAACGAAGACACAAAAUAUUUUAUUUUCAUUUUUUAAGUAAUUUGUACAGAUUUUUAACUCUGUUCCAAAACCUUGAUCAUUAUAAAGGGUACUGUAAAAUAUGUGGGAAUUGAUUUUAUCAUGUUUGUCAUUUUUCGUCAUACUCAUUCUUGGGAGCCGGAGCAUUACCUUUAUGGGGGUUGCUCAAGAUGAAAUAAUUUAUGAUAAUGCUGUAAUCUCUCGUUGGUUAUCACUUCAUUUAAUGAAAAUGAAAAGAGUCUUCUUUAUUGGCAAGUUAAGUAACUAAUAAAUUCAAUUGAACUUUGGUCAUUUGGUAUAGAGAUAAUUUUAUCCGAUUGUUUUUUCUUUAUGAAUAAAAGGGUGAAAUAAAAAAAAAUUCUUAUUGUCUGUAAUAUAAUAUUUAUGAUAUUUAUCUAUAUGGUGAUUUUUAACAUCUUUAGGAAUUAUGCUAAAGUUAAUUUUUACUUGCAUGUACAUAUUCUGUAUAUUUUGAUUUUGGGAAUUUCUGAGAAACAUUUGGAGACUAUUUUAAUGAGUGAAGUUAAUUGAUAAGUUAGGUCUCUACUUAUACUUAUUAUACUUACUUUAUUACCCGGUAUCCAUCCGAUUCCUAAUCCGGCUUUUUUCUGUUUUCAUUGUUACAUGUACGCAUGUCUAACAUGGUUGUUAGUAGGACACUUCAAAAGGAAAGUUUUCAACUUUGUUUAAUGUAAUAUAUUUUGUUCAAUAUUAUUUGUUGUUAAUGUUAUGUAUGUUUUAUAAGAAAUAAAACAAAUCUUCUUUAAAAAG
rnacentral:sRNA from 1 species